UACGUAGGGGGCAAACGUUAUCCGGAUUUACUGGGCGUAAAGAGCGCGUAGGCGGUCUGGCAAGUCGGAUGUAAAAUCUCCCGGCUCAACUGGGAGGGAUCAUUCGAUACUUCCAGACUAGAGGUCAGCAGAGGUAAGUGGAAUUCCCGGUGUAGUGGUGAUAUGCGUAGAUAUCGGGAGGAACACCAGUGGCGAAGGCGGCUUACUGGGCUGCACCUGACGCUGAGGCGCGAAAGCGUGGGGAGCGAACAGGAUUAGAUACCCCGGUA
rnacentral:rRNA from 1 species